rnacentral:rRNA from 1 species
UACGUAGGGUCCGAGCGUUGUCCGGAAUUACUGGGCGUAAAGAGCUCGUAGGUGGUUUGUCACGUUGUUCGUGAAAACCCACAGCUCAACUGUGGGCGUGCGAGCGAUACGGGCAGACUAGAGUACUGCAGGGGAGACUGGAAUUCCUGGUGUAGCGGUGGAAUGCGCAGAUAUCAGGAGGAACACCGGUGGCGAAGGCGGAUCUCUGGGCCGAUACUGACGCUGAGGAGCGAAAGCGUGGGGAGCGAACAGG